ACCUACGGGAGGCAGCAGUGGGGAAUAUUGGACAAUGGGGGCAACCCUGAUCCAGCGAUGCCGCGUGAGUGAAGAAGGCCUUCGGGUUGUAAAACUCUUUUGUUAGGGAAGAUAAUGACGGUACCUAACGAAUAAGCACCGGCUAACUUCGUGCCAGCAGCCGCGGUAAUACGAAGGGUGCAAGCGUUGUUCGGAAUGACUGGGCGUAAAGGGCGUGUAGGCGGUUAUGUGCGUCAGGUGUGAAAUCCCCGGGCUCAACCUGGGAAUGGCAUUUGAUACGGUAUAGCUAGAGAUUGGCAGAGGGUAGUGGAAUUGCGAGUGUAGAGGUGAAAUUCGUAGAUAUUCGCAGGAACACCGGUGGCGAAGGCGGCUAUCUGGGCCAAUACUGACGCUGAGGCGCGAAAGCGUGGGGAGCAAACAGGAUUAGAUACCCCGGUAGU
rnacentral:rRNA from 1 species